UAAACGGAUGCGAUAACGAUCGGCUGGU
rnacentral:sRNA from 1 species